rnacentral:rRNA from 1 species
UACGAAGGGGGCUAGCGUUGCUCGGAAUCACUGGGCGUAAAGGGUGCGUAGGCGGGUCUUUUAAGUCAGGGGUGAAAUCCUGGAGCUCAACUCCAGAACUGCCUUUGAUACUGAAGAUCUUGAGUUCGGGAGAGGUGAGUGGAACUGCGAGUGUAGAGGUGAAAUUCGUAGAUAUUCGCAAGAACACCAGUGGCGAAGGCGGCUCACUGGCCCGGUACUGACGCUGAUGUGCGAAAGCGUGGGGAGCAAACAGG